AAGAAAAGAGAAUAAAUAUUACACAGCUUUGUGUUAAUAAUGAGACUGAGACUAUGAAGACUGAUUCAUUUCUCCUGUGGUCAGUUGGUUCGGUGCCAGUGUGCAUUUUGAUAAUAUGUAUUAUAGUCUUUAUGUACUGCAAGUGUAAAAAAGGUGCCCAGGAGGAGGUAGUAGAAGGUAAUACAGUCUAUGCUCUUGUUGAGGUAAGCUUCAAAUUACUGUUCAUCAUUAAGCUCACAGACAUCAUUGAUAUGUUGUCAUGUAGUAUAGUUCUAUUUAUUUAUGUCAGACAUCAAAAAUAUUCAUCUACACAAAUCAGUGGCUCCCAUUUUUUUCAAAUCUGCUUUUUUAUCUUUGUCAAAAUUGUAUAGCAAAAUUAUCACCACAUAUCACUUA